rnacentral:rRNA from 1 species
GAUGAACGCUGGCGGCGUGCCUAAUACAUGCAAGUCGAGCGAACGGACGGGAAGCUUGCUUCUCUGAUGUUAGCGGCGGACGGGUGAGUAACACGUGGAUAACCUACCUAUAAGACUGGGAUAACUUCGGGAAGCCGGAGCUAAUACCGGAUAAUAUUUUGAACCGCAUGGUUCAAAAGUGAAAGACGGUCUUGCUGUCACUUAUAGAUGGAUCCGCGCUGCAUUAGCUAGUUGGUAAGGUAACGGCUUACCAAGGCAACGAUGCAUAGCCGACCUGAGAGGGUGAUCGGCCACACUGGAACUGAGACACGGUCCAGACUCCUACGGGAGGCAGCAGUAGGGAAUCUUCCGCAAUGGGCGAAAGCCUGACGGAGCAACGCCGCGUGAGUGAUGAAGGUCUUCGGAUCGUAAAACUCUGUUAUUAGGGAAGAACAUAUGUGUAAGUAACUGUGCACAUCUUGACGGUACCUAAUCAGAAAGCCACGGCUAACUACGUG